UUAAACAUGAGAGUUUGAUCCUGGCUCAGGAUGAACGCUGGCGGCGUGCUUAACACAUGCAAGUCGAACGAAGCUGCUUAACUGAUCUUCUUCGGAAUUGAUGUUUUGUAGACUGAGUGGCGGACGGGUGAGUAACGCGUGGGUAACCUGCCCUGUACAGGGGGAUAACAGUUAGAAAUGACUGCUAAUACCGCAUAAGACCACAGCACCGCAUGGUGCAGGGGUAAAAACUCCGGUGGUACAGGAUGGACCC
rnacentral:rRNA from 1 species